rnacentral:rRNA from 1 species
GACGAACGCUGGCGGCGUGCUUUACACAUGCAAGUCGAACGGAAAGGCCCUGCUUUUUUGUGGUGCUCGAGUGGCGAACGGGUGAGUCACACGUGAGUAACCUGCCCUUGACUUUGGGAUAACUUCAGGAAACUUGGGCUAAUACCGGAUCGGAGCUCCUGCUGCAUGGUGGGGGUUGGAACGUUUCGGCGGUUGGGGAUGGACUCGCGGCUUAUCAGCUUGUUGGUGGGGUAGUGGCUUACCAAGGCUUUGACGGGUAGCCGGCCUGAGAGGGUGACCGGCCACAUUGGGACUGAGAUACGGCCCAGACUCCUACGGGAGGCAGCAGUGGGGAAUAUUGCACAAUGGGCGGAAGCCUGAUGCAGCAACGCCGCGUGCGGGAUGACGGCCUUCGGGUUGUAAACCGCUUUCGCCUGUGACGAAGCGUGAGUGACGGUAAUGGGUAAAGAAGCACCGGCUAACUACGUG